rnacentral:tRNA from 1 species
GGAGAGAUGGCAGAGCGGUUGAUUGCAUCGGUCUUGAAAACCGACAGGGGAUCAUACUCCUCGGGGGUUCGAAUCCCUCUCUCUCCGCCA